rfam:Homo sapiens chromosome 2, GRCh38 reference primary assembly.
GCUGGGCGUGGUGGCGCACGCCUGUAAUCCCAGCUACUUAGGAGGCUGAGGCAGUAGAAUCACUUGAAUCUGGGAGGUGCAGGAUGCAGUGAGCCAAGAUCACGCCACUGCACUCCAGCCUGGGUGAUAGAGUGAGACUCCAUCUCAA